rnacentral:tRNA from 1 species
GUCCCUGUAGCUCAGUGGAUAGAGCGCAGCCCUCCGGAGGCUGAAGCCUGAGUUCGAGUCUCAGCAGGGACG